rnacentral:lncRNA from 1 species
UUUAAGAUUCAAUCACAACUCUACACUUAAAGUCUAAUAUAAUCAUAUUAUAAUUGUAUUAGUACUGUAUCAAGUAUUAUUUUGGAUAUUGAUAUAUCAUAUACAAGUCAUACACAAUAAAGAUUUUAGAAAUAAAGAAAACAAGGAUCAAAACUUACCCACAACUUGAUAUAGAGCAAUAUUCCGAAUUUCAUCUAAACUGUAUCAAUAAGAAAUAGAGAUUUUGGGUGAUUAGUUAAAGAGAAAAAUUGAGUUUGUAAACUUUUGAAAAAGGAAAAGAAUCAUGAAUUUUGUGAGGGGGUGAGGGGGUUGGGGGAGAUGAUAAAAUAAAAGAGAGAUUUUGAG